GAUCAUCUCCGCGAUGCUCAUCAUCCUCUCGUUGAACCUCCCGAACGCCGCCCUGACCUCCCUGUCCGCCAUCCACGCUGACUCCGCAUGCGUGCCCAUGUACUCCUCGCCGGGCGAGUGUGACGAUAGCAGGUUGAGCACCGGCAGGACGAGGGUGGUCUGGUACUGCGAUGGGAACGUGUCUAGUAGCACCCUGACGGGAUC
rnacentral:sRNA from 1 species